UUAGGGAUAACAGCGUAAUUUUUUUUUAGAGUUCUUAUCAACAAAAAAGAUUGCGACCUCGAUGUUGGAUUAAGAUUUAAGGUUGGGUGUAGAAGUUCAAAAUAUAAGUCUGUUCGACUUUUAAAUUCUUACAUGAUCUGAGUUCAAACCGGUGUAAGCCAGGUUGGUUUCUAUCCUUAAUAAAGUAUUAUAUUAUAGUACGAAAGGACCUAAUAUAAAAAAUAUUAAUUUUAAAUUUAAGAAAUUUAUUAAGUUUAAUU
rnacentral:rRNA from 1 species